rnacentral:rRNA from 1 species
GGCCUGGCUGGCCGGUCCGCCUCACCGCGUGCACUGGUCCGGCCGGGCCUUUCCUCCUGGGGAUCCGCAUGCCCUUUACUGGGUGUGUUGGGGAACCAGGACUUUUACUUUGAAAAAAUUAGAGUGUUUAAAGCAGGCCUACGCUUGAAUACAUUAGCAUGGAAUAAUAAAAUAGGACGU